rnacentral:rRNA from 1 species
AUUGAACGCUGGCGGCAGGCUUAACACAUGCAAGUCGAGCGGAGAGAGGUAGCUUGCUACUGAUCUUAGCGGCGGACGGGUGAGUAAUGCUUAGGAAUCUGCCUAUUAGUGGGGGACAACAUUUCGAAAGGAAUGCUAAUACCGCAUACGUCCUACGGGAGAAAGCAGGGGAUCUUCGGACCUUGCGCUAAUAGAUGAGCCUAAGUCGGAUUAGCUAGUUGGAGGGGUAAAGGCCUACCAAGGCGACGAUCUGUAGCGGGUCAGAGAGGAUGACCCGCCACACUGGGACUGAGACACGGUCCAGACGCCUACGGGAGGAAGCAGUGGGGAAUUUUGGACAAUGGGGGCAACCCUGAUCCAGCCAUGCCGCGAGAGUGAAGAAGGCCUUCGGGUUGUAAAGCUCUUUCGGCCGGGAAGAAAUCGCGCAGGCUAAUACCUUGCGUGGAUGACGGUACCGGAAUAAGAAGCACCGGCUAACUACGAGCCAGCCGCCGCCGUAAUAC